rnacentral:rRNA from 1 species
UACGUAGGGUGCAAGCGUUAAUCGGAAUUACUGGGCGUAAAGCGUGCGCAGGCGGUGAUGUAAGACAGAUGUGAAAUCCCCGGGCUCAACCUGGGAACUGCAUUUGUGACUGCAUCGCUGGAGUGCGGCAGAGGGGGAUGGAAUUCCGCGUGUAGCAGUGAAAUGCGUAGAUAUGCGGAGGAACACCGAUGGCGAAGGCAAUCCCCUGGGCUAACACUGACGCUCAGGCACGAAAGCGUGGGGAGCAAACAGG